rnacentral:rRNA from 1 species
GACGAACGCUGGCGGCGUGCUUAACACAUGCAAGUCGAACGGAAAGGCCCUGCUUUUGUGGGGUGCUCGAGUGGCGAACGGGUGAGUAACACGUGAGUAACCUGCCCUUGACUUUGGGAUAACUUCAGGAAACUGGGGCUAAUACCGGAUAGGAGCUCCUGCUGCAUGGUGGGGGUUGGAAAGUUUCGGCGGUUGGGGAUGGACUCGCGGCUUAUCAGCUUGUUGGUGGGGUAGUGGCUUACCAAGGCUUUGACGGGUAGCCGGCCUGAGAGGGUGACCGGCCACAGUGGGAUAGGGAUGCCACCCGGACCACUACGGGGGGCAGCGGUGGGGAAAUUGGCAAAAGGGGCGGAAGGUGUACACAGAAUCGCCGGGUGGGGAAGCACGGCUUUCGGGGUGGAACCCCCUUUCGCCUGUAACGAAGCGUGGGGGAGGGAAAUGGGUAAAAAAGCCCGGGCUAAUUACGU